GGACAGUUAGCUCAGUUGGUUAGAGCGUGGUGCUGAUAAUACCAAGGUCGCAGGUUCGAUCCCCGUUCGGUCCC
rnacentral:tRNA from 1 species